rnacentral:misc_RNA from 1 species
UCCGGUUUGACACCGGCAGUCUCGCUAGAGUCCCCGGCAUGACCCGCUGGCAACUAGCGAUAGGGGUUUCGCUCGUUAAGGGACUUAACCCGACACUUCACAGCACGAGCUGACGACAGCCAUGCAGCACCUGUGCACGUUUCACCCGAAGGCAGCCGGCUCCACUUUCAUGGACGGCAUCCGUGCAUGUCAAACCCAGGUAAGGUUCUUCGCGUUGCUUCGAAUUAAUCCACAUGCUCCACCGCUUGUGUGAGCCCCCGUCAAUUCCUUUGAGUUUUAGCCUUGCGGCCGUACUCCCCAGGCGGCGCACUUACCACUUUUGCUGCGGCACGAGGGACGUCAGAGUCUCUCAUACCCAGUGCGCAUCGUUUACGGCGUGGACUAC